GCUGGGUGUGAUGGUACACACCUGUAAUCCCAGCAUUUUGGGAGGCCGAGACGAGAGGAUUGCUUGAGCCCAGGAGUUUGAGACCAGCCUGGGCAACAUAGUGAGACCCCGUCUCUU
ensembl:misc_RNA Metazoa_SRP Metazoan signal recognition particle RNA